rnacentral:rRNA from 1 species
GGGCACAAGCCCCCUAAAGGAACCAUGUAGACUACGUGGUUGAUAGGUCAGGUGUGUAAGUACAGCAAUGUAUUGAGCUAACUGAUACUAAUGAUCCGUGCGGCUUGACCAUAUAACCUCA